GAUGAACGCUGGCGGCGUGCCUAAUACAUGCCAGUCGAGCGAACAGACGAGGAGCUUGCUCCUCUGACGUUAGCGGCGGACGGGUGAGUAACACGUGGAUAACCUACCUAUAAGACUGGGAUAACUUCGGGAAACCGGAGCUAAUACCGGAUAAUAUAUUGAACCGCAUGGUUCAAUAGUGAAAGACGGUUUUGCUGUCACUUAUAGAUGGAUCCGCGCCGCAUUAGCUAGUUGGUAAGGUAACGGCUUACCAAGGCAACGAUGCGUAGCCGACCUGAGAGGGUGAUCGGCCACACUGGAACUGAGACACGGUCCAGACUCCUACGGGAGGCAGCAGUAGGGAAUCUUCCGCAAUGGGCGAAAGCCUGACGGAGCAACGCCGCGUGAGUGAUGAAGGUCUUCGGAUCGUAAAACUCUGUUAUUAGGGAAGAACAAAUGUGUAAGUAACUAUGCACGUCUUGACGGUACCUAAUGAGAAAGCCACGGCUAACUACGUG
rnacentral:rRNA from 1 species